rnacentral:rRNA from 1 species
UAGUGAUCCGGCGGUGGAAAGUGGAAUCGCCGUCGCUUAACGGAUAAAAGGUACUCCGGGAUAACAGGCUGAUCGCCACCAAGAGUUCAUAUCGACGUGGCGGUUUGGCACCUCGAUGUCGGCUCAUCGCAUCCUGGGGCUGUAGUCGGUCCCAAGGGUUGGGCUGUUCGCCCAUUAAAGCGRUACGCGAGCUGGGUUCAGAACGUCGUGAGACAGUUCGGUCCCUAUCCGUCGUGGGCGUAGGAAAUUUGAGAGGAGCUGUCCUUAGUACGAGAGGACCGGGAUGGACAUACCUCUGGUGUACCAGUUGUCGUGCCAACGGCAUAGCUGGGUAGCUAUGUGUGGACGGGAUAAGUGCUGAAAGCAUCUAAGCAUGAAGCCCCCCUCAAGAUGAGAUUUCCCAACUUCGGUUAUAAGAUCCCUCAAAGAUGAUGAGGUUAAUAGGUUCGAGGUGGAAGCAUGGUGACAUGUGGAGCUGACGAAUACUAAUCGAUCGAAGACUUAAUC